rnacentral:rRNA from 1 species
AGAGUUUGAUCAUGGCUCAGAUUGAACGCUGGCGGCAGGCCUAACACAUGCAAGUCGAGCGGUAGCACAGAGAGCUUGCUCUCGGGUGACGAGCGGCGGACGGGUGAGUAAUGUCUGGGAAACUGCCUGAUGGAGGGGGAUAACUACUGGAAACGGUAGCUAAUACCGCAUAACGUCGCAAGACCAAAGUGGGGGACCUUCGGGCCUCAUGCCAUCAGAUGUGCCCAGAUGGGAUUAGCUAGUAGGUGGGGUAACGGCUCACCUAGGCGACGAUCCCUAGCUGGUCUGAGAGGAUGACCAGCCACACUGGAACUGAGACACGGUCCAGACUCCUACGGGAGGCAGCAGUGGGGAAUAUUGCACAAUGGGCGCAAGCCUGAUGCAGCCAUGCCGCGUGUGUGAAGAAGGCCUUCGGGUUGUAAAGCACUUUCAGCGGGGAGGAAGGCGGUAAGGUUAAUAACCUUGGCGAUUGACGUUACCCGCAGAAGAAGCACCGGCUAACUCCGUGCCAGCAGCCGCGGUAAUACGGAGGGUGCAAGCGUUAAUCGGAAUUACUGGGCGUAAAGCGCACGCAGGCGGUCUGUCAAGUCGGAUGUGAAAUCCCCGGGCUCAACCUGGGAACUGCAUUCGAAACUGGCAGGCUAGAGUCUUGUAGAGGGGGGUAGAAUUCCAGGUGUAGCGGUGAAAUGCGUAGAGAUCUGGAGGAAUACCGGUGGCGAAGGCGGCCCCCUGGACAAAGACUGACGCUCAGGUGCGAAAGCGUGGGGAGCAAACAGGAUUAGAUACCCUGGUAGUCCACGCCGUAAACGAUGUCGAUUUGGAGGUUGUGCCCUUGAGGCGUGGCUUCCGGAGCUAACGCGUUAAAUCGACCGCCUGGGGAGUACGGCCGCAAGGUUAAAACUCAAAUGAAUUGACGGGGGCCCGCACAAGCGGUGGAGCAUGUGGUUUAAUUCGAUGCAACGCGAAGAACCUUACCUGGUCUUGACAUCCACAGAACUUUCCAGAGAUGGAUUGGUGCCUUCGGGAACUGUGAGACAGGUGCUGCAUGGCUGUCGUCAGCUCGUGUUGUGAAAUGUUGGGUUAAGUCCCGCAACGAGCGCAACCCUUAUCCUUUGUUGCCAGCGGU